UGUGCCAGUAUGGUCGGGAGUGAAAGAGCCCACCAACACCGCGGUGCCAAGGUCAUUGUUCUGGCGGUCCACGGGUGAGACCUAUACAGAUCUGUAUGCUCUGACAGUGUUGAUUUACUUGCGUCAUCGUGAAGUUAAUGCUCUAGUUGGCGAAUUGUAUCAGUCCUUGACGGUCUCCCCUCUUGCGCAACUGUCUCCUUCAACCUUGCUGAGGUGUUUGGUGGAAACUCUGUACUGUGAUAACAAAAAUCUCUAAGAAGCACAGCACAGCCCACCUGAAGUCUUUGGGAGCUUCGCCAGUCAGAUAAAAGUGCUUGCCAGUAGUUCUCUAAAGAGAGAGAGAGUGCUGGGAAUUGCUGCCCUCAAAUCAACAAUGAGGAAAGUGGAGGAGACUUAAAGUGAACAUGGCAGAAAGUGGGGAACGUAAACACAAGGCAGCCGAAUAUGGAGGAAAAACUGAGCGCUGUGUUGACAUGCAUGAGACGUGUUUUGAAAUAACACUUUAUAUACUAAGUACUGGGGGAAAAGCAGUGGUGCUUUACAGAAUUGGGGGGCCUAUGCAAUCAACAGCUUAGCUUAUGCUUAGACAUCAGGGGAAAUGUGUUUGUUGCUCUCCAAAUCCAGAGCCAAUUUUGCCCUCAGUCCUCCCAGUGAUGGCAUUAGUCAUGGAGAGAGAGUACAAUUCAACAUAAAUCUCAUUCGACAUACAUAUAUAUUUCUAUAUGUGAGGUUGACCUUUGUUCUCCUUUAGUGUUCUCGUAAGCCCAAGGCAAUUUUUAAGAUACACCAAAAAUAUAUAGGUCUAUGUGUUCUGUUUUCACCCAGGGAGAAGAUACUCCCUCCACAAGUGGCUUUGUGGAGGCCUCUCUUAUUCUGUUUGUGAAAUGACAUAUUAAGUGUGUGUGUGUGUGUGUGUGUUUUCAUGUGUGUAUGCAUUUCUGUGUGUCUGUAUGUGAGAGAGAUAGAUAAGAUAUAGAUAAGAUGAGAUGUUUAUUAUGCUGUUAUCACACACAGUGUAAGAGUUAUUGUGUUGCUGGGAGUUUAGUCUGGGAUUUGAGACUAGAGGAGGUCAAAGGGCUGGAAUACGACAAGAAUAAACAACCUUGGCCUGUGCUCUCUGAUCACUCCGCAAA